CCAAGGUGUAACCUUCAGAGAGGAAGAAUUUUACAUGAGUUCAAACGAGGUUUCUACUUCAAAUAACUUUAUACCUCAAGAUCCUACAAGUUAUAAGGUGGAGCUAUUUGCAAAAACUGUUGAUAAUGAUGCUAAAACUCUUGGGGCCGUUUGGCCCAUGGGAUUGGAAUUGGGUUGGCCUAAGAGGUAGAUAUUCCAGGUUUUCAUUCAGAAUUCCAAAGGGGUAACUUGACAGGUUUUCUCAUUUUCACGCGUGAUGUGCCUCAAAGAGGUACAUAAUCCACUUCUUUCGGUGUUUUGUGGCUCUUCCUCUUCAAAUCUAUUUGCAAUUCUUUCCACGUUGACCAUAAUUUCAUCUCCCUCUUCUUUUCCUUUUUUCUUGACGUUUUUUUCGUGACUGCUCUUUUUAGGCACAAUUUGUCAACAAGUUUUAGAACAUUUUAUUUAUUUUUUUUAGCCACAGUUUGAUGUUUCAUUGAUGGUCUGUGGUGUUCAUUGAUUCACUUUUUAGAACAUCACAAACACUUUUUUAUUUAGAUCUCUCUUUUUGAUUCCAACUGUUCUGAUUCUCAGAUUUAUACUAUUUUUUUCCCUUGGAUUUGUUCUUCUUUCUUCCAAUCGAUGUCUACAAUUUCUUUGGCAUCUCUUAAGCUGAUUCAAUAGAUGGGUAAAUUAAAAUCUCUCCUUAUUCUAGUUGCUAUAGAUCUACUCUUUUUGUUUAGAUCCACUCUCUUAGAAACUCCCUUUCGCUAAUCAGAAUCCAUCUCUUAUUGCCUUUUAGAAGAAAAAUUAUUGUGGUUUUAUAAUUUUAGAGGAAUGGUAGGAGGUUGGAUGUUGAUGAUUGGGGUUUGGUGAGUGAGGUUUUUUUUAUCUACAUUGCACAGGUUAAUUUCUAACCCAAGGCCGAUGAUGAGUAAUUUGUUGUAGAAUUUCCUAUUCAAUGACUACAAAUCCUACCGAAGGCCUCUGUUAUUUUAAUUACAUGAUUUGUUUUUUCUUUGUUGGACUACAUGUGGUUGAUUCUUUUUGGAUUGUUUUGAUUCUUUGAGGCUGACCAAAAUCCACCUCUUGCCGUCUCUUAAAAGAAAAUUUAUCGUGGUUCCAUAAUUUUAGAGGCAUGGUAGGAGAUUGGAUUUUGAUGAUUGAAGUUUGGUGGGUGAGGUUCUUUGAUCUACAUUGCACAGGUUAAUUUCUAACCCAAGGUCGAUGAUGAAUAAUUUGUUAUAGGAUUUUCUAUUCAAUGACCACAAAUCCUACCGGAGACCUCUGUUAUCUUAAUUACAUGAUUAGCUUUUUUCUUUGUUGGACUAAAGGUGGUUGAUUCUUUUUUGGAUUGUUUUGAUUCUUUGGGCUUCUUAUUACUUUUAAUAUCAUUCUUAUAUACUAAUUUUUUUGGACUUUGUUUGAAUGUAUGUGGUGGAUUCCGAUUUGUUUAGAUUGUUUUAAUUGUUAUCAAUAUGUUAUUAAAGUGUUUUUGUGUUUAAUCCCCAUUAGGAAAUUAUGGAAGUUUGAUGUUUGGUUAUGAUUAGUUUGAUCUUUUUUGUUAUCGACAUUACUAACUUGUGAUUCAUGUUGUAUUAACAUUAGAAACGAUUUUUACUAUAUCAUUUAUUAUUCAUUUUUGUUUUCAAUUAUGUGGUAGUUGACAAGGAUUAAAUUGAGAAUUGACAUGUACUUAUAAUUUGGAUAAAUUUGAUGAGAUUUGACCUUGGAUUAUUUUCAAA